rnacentral:lncRNA from 1 species
AAAAACUGCAAAGAUAGGAUGAAGAUAAUGGUAGCAAAAGCAAGAGAUCACCCAGCCUCAGCAUCCAGACUUUGUUGCUCCAACUAGACAAGUCUCAGGUCACACCCCAAGGAGUGGGAGACACCCAAGCCACAGGAUUGACACACAGAAGUGACCUGACUCCCCAUCAGAAUGUUGCAGUUUCACUGCCAUUGAUUGACAAAGGCAGCAUUCUUUAAUCUAGGGGAAAAGAACAUGCAUAUAUGUAUCAGCCCAGGUAUUGCUUGGCUGUACCCAGUCAAAUCUGAGAUA